CACAUCUGCCAGGAAGCAGUCCCAUCAGCCACAUGCCUUCAAAACUAGGAUUCCUGACUACUAAUCCUCUUUUUCAGCUAAACAAUUCAAAGCAUUCCAGGUUUCAGCCACACACACCAAAUUCCUGUGCAUGUCUACUUGGAAGCAAGUCCCACAAAGUUCAGCAGGACUUACUCCUCAUAAGCGUGUGCUUAGAACUGCAAUUGUAGCCUGUGCACAGGUGAUCACACCCUUAGACCCCAGCUUCAGUUUGUUGAGGAUGCAGUAUGAAGUCCUACUGGAUCAUGAACCAUGAUGGAAAAGGAAAAUGGAUGCAUGUAUUUCAGUCUGUUACAGCUCUACAUAACUGUCUCUGAGAAUGCUUACAGACAAGUAUGAAAUGAGGUACCUGACUUCUAAGACAGUUAAUGAAGGAAGACUGAAGUGAGAGCCCUGCUAUAAACUAUGGUCUAUUGAAGAGCAAGAAACAUCUUCCCUGCAUUUGGUGCUGUAAGAUAAGGCUGUGUUUCAUUUACCUCUAGCCAUGUGAUUUGCCUCAAGUCCAGAGGUGCCAGCAGGAUUUCCUGAGCCAAGUUCACUGCAUGUCGAUUAGUCCCCCCCACACACACACUCUGUGCAAUGGACUGCCUACCCCCCAACCCAGUGGGCAGAGGAUGCCAAGCAGCUUUUUCUGCCACUCCCUCGUCUCCAUCCCAGACUUCUUUUUCAAGCUACAAUGUGCACCAAGCAGAUAUUUCCACCUCCCUAGCCCAGAUCACCUGCUGGUGCGGCGGAGAAAUGACUUGACUAUCAAGCCCGAGGUUGCUGGUUCGAAUCCUGGCUGGUAUGUUUCCCAGACUAUGGGAAAUUCCUAUAUUGGGCAGCAGCAAUAUAGGAAGAUGCUGAAAGGCAUUAUCUCAUACUGCACAGGAGAUGGCAAUGGUAAACCCCUCCUGUAUUCUACCAAAGACAACCACAGGGCUAUGUGGUCACCUGGAGUCGACACUGACUUGACGGCACACUUUACCUCAGCCCAGAUCACCUGACUGCCCACCCUCCCUUCCUCCAUCCUUCCUUCCCUCCUUCCCAUCUCAGAGGGGCCUGGCUAUUUCAGCAAUGCCCCCUUCUUCCCCACCAGCGUCCCACUCUUUCUUUGAAAAGGAGCACUGGAGCAGAACUGUGUUCCGGUCAGUACAAGGCUGGCCUCCACAGAGAUGCUCCAGGCCACCACUCUACCGGCUUCUUUGCAGUGGAGGCAACAAGGAGGAGAGGCACAGGCGGGGGCUGUCUCCAGGCCUGUUACAGAACGUUCUAUUCUCCCUGCCUGUCAGCAGGCCUGUUCAAGCCUUUCCUCCCUUAUUUGGCACCGCUGAAGACCCAAACAUGCUGGAGACAAACAGCAGAGAUGCCCAUCACCUUCAUCCCCAGCUUAUGCACUUGUGAGGACAUGAGGCUGACUGCUGCUCGAGACACAAUGUUGGCCUUUGUGGCCAGGGAUGACAGGAAAUGUAGUCCAACCACAUCUGGGAAUUCAAGAUUGGGGAUUCCUGAACUAGAUAAACCUUUGGUUGAUCCUGUGAGGCAAUUCUUACAUGCAUAAAUCUACCCUGAAAGCCUCCUUUUAUUGCUGCCAUGAGUUUUCUCCUCCCAGCCACUUUAUCACUGCUGCUGAAGGCAACUUCACAUCUUAACGUGAAGACAAAUGCAUGUGUGCCACUGUUAUACAUAUGGCUGAAAUGAUGUGUUUGUCCCCUAGCAAACGUUGCAUUUUUGAUGUCUGUCUUUAAGAGACCGUGGUUUGCAUCCCAACUAGCACUCACACAACACUGUAAGCACAAGGGAUCUUCCACCGAAAGAAUCCCCAAAUACCGGUAAUGUGGCCAGUCUUUGCUGUGCUUGAUCUAACUGUAGUGACACAAGUCUCUUUUCAAUCCAAAUCCCAGCCCAUGAAUUCUGUGCUGGCAUGGUGAGACACCAGAUUUAGUGUCCCUGGUCUUCUUUGAGGGAAUGGCACUCAGAAGGGUAGAAGGGAAGCCCUGAAACAAAUUAAACGCUCUGGUAACCUCUCGCUUAGAUUACUGCAAUGCGUUGUAUGUGGGGCUGCCUUUGAAAACUGUCUGGAAACUGCAGUUGGUACAAAAUAGGACUGCAAGAUUAUUAACUGGGACUGGACAUUUUGAUCAUAUUACACCAGUGCUGUGUCAGCUGCACUGGCUCCCAGUCCGUUUCUGGGCCCAAUUCAUAGCACUGGUUCUAACCUUUAAAGCCCUAAAUGGCCUAGGACCGAAUUACUUGAGAGAGCACCUUGCCCCAUAUGUCUCUACCCGUUCCUUAAGAUCUUCAGAAGCUGUCCUCAGAGUGCCCCUGCCAAACAAGGUGAGGCGGGUGGCUACCAGGGAGGGGGCCUUUUUGGUGGUUGCACCCCAUUUAUGGAAUAGCCUCCCCAGUGAGGUUCGCCUGAAUUUUGUAUUUUGUUUUCACCUUUUUUUUUGGUCUAUUAUGAUAUAAUGUGUUAUGUGUGAUGUGUUUUUAUUGUAUGUAUUAAUCCUCUGUUGUGAGCCUCCCAGAGAACAAUUUGUUAUGGGGAGGCUAACAAAUAAAGUUUAUUAUUUAUUGUAUU